CUAACUCUUAACUAUGAUUUUAUGGUUGUAGAUCACCUGCUGCAUCACCAGUUCUGCAAAGUGAACCCUUCAUCAUUCAAACAGCUCUAAAUCUAGUUGGCAUAGUGUUGUUUCUCUUAGAAACUUCCAAUUUGUGACACUGAAGGGUGAUGUUUUGGAAGACCCAGCAAAUGAACCUAAAAAAGAUAUGUACAUGUUGACUUGACUGUUGACCCUGAGGAUGCUCCAAAUCAACCAGAAUAUGUGGAGAUCGGUUUUGAGUCAGGCAUUCCAGUUUCGUUGAACGGGAAGAGACUUUCUCCGGGAAAUUUGGUUGUUGAGCUGAAUGAGAUAGGUGGAAGGCACGGAAUAGGCCAUGUGGACUUAGUUGAAGACCGCAAUGUAGGCAUGAAAGCCGGGGAGUAUAUGAAACUCCAGGAGACACCAUUCUCUUCAUUGCAGCAAGGGACUUAGAGUGUUUAACACUUGAUCAAGAAACACUUCAGCUCAAAGACUCAUUAUCACUUAAAUACGCAGAAUUAGUGUAUGUUGGAAGGUGGUUCGAUCCACUUCGCAAGUGGAUGGGUGCGUUCAUGGAGAAGAUCUCGGAGACUACAACAAGAUCGGUGAGUUUGAAACUGUAUAAAGGUUGUGCUUCUGUGACAGGUCGGAAGAGUCCUUAUAGUUUGUAAUAGGGAAGAUAUUUCUUCAUUUGAGAGGGGAGAGAUAUAUAUCAUGCUGGUGUUGUUGGGUUUAUAAGGCUUUAUGGUCUUCCAAUGAGGAUCAGAGCAAUGAUGGAACAAGGCAUUUAAAUGUUGUUUUCCUUUUGUACUUUGUUUGUAUCAUUAUGUGUGUGUCUGCGUGUGUAUAUUUUCUUGUUCUUGUCAAUGUUUGUGGAAAA